rnacentral:rRNA from 1 species
AACGAACGCUGGCGGCGUGUUUAAGACAUGCAAGUCGCACGGGAUAAGACAUGUAGUAAUACUUGUUUUAUUUAGUGGCGCACGGGUGAGUAACACGUGAAUUACAUGCCCUAUAGUGGGGAAUAGCCCAGGGAAACGUGGAUUAAUACCCCAUGGUAUCGAAUGAUUAAAGGUGGCCGCAAGGCUGUCGCUAUAGGAUUGGUUCGCGCCCUAUCAGCUUGUUGGUGGGGUAACGGCUCACCAAGGCAAUGACGGUUACCUGGUCGGAGAGGGCGAUCAGGCACACUGGAACUGAGACACGGUCCAGACACCUACGGGUGGCAGCAGUCGAGAAUAAUUCACAAUGGGGGCAACCCUGAUGGUGCAACGCCGCGUGGAGGAUGACGGUCUUCGGAUUGUAAACUCCUGUCAUCUGGGAGAAAGACCUGACGGUAAAUAGCCGGCAGGGUUGAUAGUACCAGAAGAGGAAGGGACGGCUAACUUCGUGCCAGCAGCCGCAGUAA